rnacentral:rRNA from 1 species
CCUACGGGUGGCAGCAGUGAGGAAUAUUGGUCAAUGGCCGUAAGGCUGAACCAGCCAAGUAGCGUGAGGGAAGACUGCCCUAUGGGUUGUAAACCUCUUUUAUGCGGGGAUAAAGCUGUCCACGUGUGGAUGUUUGCAGGUACCGCAUGAAUAAGGACCGGCUAAUUCCGUGCCAGCAGCCGCGGUAAUAAGGGAGGUUCGGGCGUUAUCCGGAUUUAUUGGGUUUAAAGGGUGCGCAGGCCGGACUUUAAGCCUGGCGUUAAAUUUUGGGGCUCAACCAUGUGAGUGCGGUGGAAACUGGAGACCUUGAGUGCGCGGGAGGCAGGCGGAAUGCGUGGUGUAGCGGUGAAAUGCUUAGAUAUCACGAAGAACCCCGAUUGCGAAGGCAGCCUGCCGCGGCGUUACUGACGCUGAAGCACGAAAGCGCGGGUAUCGAACAGGAUUAGAUACCCGGGUAGUC